AUGAACGCUGGCGGCGUGCCUAAUACAUGCAAGUCGAGCGAACGGACGAGAAGCUUGCUUCUCUGAUGUUAGCGGCGGACGGGUGAGUAACACGUGGAUAACCUACCUAUAAGACUGGGAUAACUUCGGGAAACCGGAGCUAAUACCGGAUGAUAUUUUGAACCGCAUGGUUCAAAAGUGAAAGACGGUCUUGCUGUCACUUAUAGAUGGAUCCGCGCUGCAUUAGCUAGUUGGUAAGGUAACGGCCUACCAAGGCAACGAUGCAUAGCCGACCUGAGAGGGUGAUCGGCCACACUGGAACUGAGACACGGUCCAGACUCCUACGGGAGGCAGCAGUAGGGAAUCUUCCGCAAUGGGCGAAAGCCUGACGGAGCAACGCCGCGUGAGUGAUGAAGGUCUUCGGAUCGUAAAACUCUGUUAUUAGGGAAGAACAUAUGUGUAAGUAACUGUGCACAUCUUGACGGUACCUAAUCAGAAAGCCACGGCUAACUACGUG
rnacentral:rRNA from 1 species